rnacentral:rRNA from 1 species
UACGUAGGGUGCGAGCGUUGUCCGGAAUUAUUGGGCGUAAAGAGCUCGUAGGCGGUUCGGCAAGUCGGAUGUGAAAUCUCCACGCUUAACGUGGAGGGGCCAUUCGAAACUGCUGUGACUCGAGUCCGGUAGGGGAGUGUGGAAUUCCCGGUGUAGCGGUGAAAUGCGCAGAUAUCGGGAGGAACACCAGUAGCGAAGGCGGCACUCUGGGCCGGUACUGACGCUGGGGAGCGAAAGCGUGGGGAGCGAACAGG